AGAAACUCAGUCACUGACUUUGGAUGAAAUAGAAAGACACUGGUCUCUCAAAAAUGUUGCCAACCUCUUUUAAAAAUUUUAUUAAGGCUCUGUUGACCAUCAUCUCUGUUAUGCAAUAUGAUCUUUCUGCUGACCCCUGCAACAACUACACUGUGCAGGACAAUGCUUGGAGAGCCACCAACUAUAUCCCCUCCUCCUACAUGUCUGACACCUCUGUCAGUUGGGC